GCGUGCUUAACACAUGCAAGUCGAACGGGAAUUACUUUAUUGAAACUUCGGUCGAUAUGAUUUAAUUCUAGUGGCGGACGGGUGAGUAACGCGUGGGUAACCUGCCUUGUACAGGGGGAUAACAGUCAGAAAUGACUGCUAAUACCGCAUAAGCGCACAGAGCUGCAUGGCUCGGUGUGAAAAACUCCGGUGGUAUAAGAUGGACCCGCGUUGGAUUAGCUAGUUGGUGAGGUAACGGCCCACCAAGGCGACGAUCCAUAGCCGGCCUGAGAGGGUGAACGGCCACAUUGGGACUGAGACACGGCCCAGACUCCUACGGGAGGCAGCAGUGGGGAAUAUUGCACAAUGGGGGAAACCCUGAUGCAGCGACGCCGCGUGAAGGAAGAAGUAUCUCGGUAUGUAAACUUCUAUCAGCAGGGAAGAUAAUGACGGUACCUGACUAAGAAGCCCCGGCUAACUACGUGCCAGCAGCCGCGGUAAUACGUAGGGGGCAAGCGUUAUCCGGAUUUACUGGGUGUAAAGGGAGCGUAGACGGCGCAGCAAGUCUGAUGUGAAAGGCAGGGGCUUAACCCCUGGACUGCAUUGGAAACUGUUGAGCUUGAGUGCCGGAGGGGUAAGCGGAAUUCCUAGUGUAGCGGUGAAAUGCGUAGAUAUUAGGAGGAACACCAGUGGCGAAGGCGGCUUACUGGACGGUAACUGACGUUGAGGCUCGAAAGCGUGGGGAGCAAA
rnacentral:rRNA from 1 species